UUGAAUGCCUUGUGGGCAUUUGCAGAGAAGUGGGGCCUGAUGGAGAAACUGGCUCGCAGCCUUGCCGAAUUUGAGGAUGCCAUCGUCACUACAAGGUCGCCAUGGCAGCAAGUGAAAAUUAUAUUUUUUUGCUGCCUGCUAGCAAAUAAAACUUGUCUGCAUGUGUGUUUGAGUGAGAAUUAACAUGUUUUUUGGGGCUGGUAAGUCUAUAGUUGCUCAUCUGCCAUUGUCAGUUAAUUAGUACAUCACUUAGUGCGUACUUGAUCCACGUUCCUCGCCAACUACGUAUUAAUGUUUUACUGUAACACGGACUCUGGUGACACGACUUAUUUGUAGUGAUUUGCAGUGAUGUCAAUUAUAUAUGCUUCUCUCUUUUAAGUGACGUGCCACUGGAAGGGAUUACAGUGAUGUGGAAAGUACUAUAUAUGAUAAGAUGCGUGCUGUGAAUGAUAGGAAAUAAGAGAAUGCAUUUUCUACAUAUGCAAGAUUUGUCUUAGGUUAGAAUUCUGGCAAAAAAUAAGAAUGUGCUGGCCUUUGGAAAUUUUAUAAAAUCAAAUUUAGGCAUGCAUCAGCAUACCCAACCUGUGUACCUUAAU
rnacentral:lncRNA from 1 species